rnacentral:rRNA from 1 species
GACGAACGCUGGCGGCGUGCUUAACACAUGCAAGUCGAACGGUGAAGCGCCUUCCUUUUUGGUGGGUGUGGAUGAGUGGCGAACGGGUGAGUAACACGAGAGUAACCUGCUCCCUUCUUCUGGAUAACCGCAUGAAAGUGUGGCUAAUACGGGAUAUUCUGGGUCUGUCGCAUGAUGGGUCUGUGAAAGCUUUUGUUUCGGUAGGGGAUGGGCUCGCGGUCUAUCGGCUUGUUGGUGGGGUGCUGGCCUACCAAGGCGGUGAGGGGUAGCUGGCCUGGGAGGGUCGACGGCCAUACAGGGGCGGAGACACCGAGAAGACUACGAGAGGAGGCAGUGGUGAAGAUUGGAGAACGGGGGGAAGAAGGCUGAAGCAGCGACGCGGCGUGGAGGAUGGAGGCCGUGUGGUUAUGAACCUCUUUCGGGAGUGAAGCGGGCCUGCCUCGUUUGUGGGUGGGUUGACGGUAGCUGGAGAAGAAGCGUCGGCUAACUACGUG